CGCUCAUUGGCCCGGCCCGCUUCGGCGGCCACGCCCCCAGCGGGGAGCCGGUCCACGUGGGGCGGGACAGCCCCCUCCCUGCGGCCUCGCCCUGGAGUCUCGGCACCGUCUGGCCCCGCCGGCUGAUUACAGCCAGAGAUCGAGGGGGACCUCGCUGUCCCCCUAGAGGCCGUCAUGCGGGGUUACAGAGGCUGCGACCAAAGUCAUUCCUAGCUCCUCUCUCGGGGCUCCGGAAAGCCGUCCGCGCCUCCAGCCGCACUUUCAGCGCACGCAGGACCUGCCGCGCCCGGUGGCCACACCCGUCCCUCUGCCGGGUGACGCUGCGGGAGAUCUUGCGCCCUGGGGCUCCGGAUCCAGUUCUGGCACGUUGUUGCACCUGUGACUUGUCCUUGGCCUGGCACUGUCCCUCGCCUGGGGGAAGCGGGGGGGUGGGGGGGGGAUGCUCACGUGGUCGCUUUGCUCCCGCAGUCAUGCACUUGGGUGAAAACAGACUGAAGAGUCACGGGAACCAGCUUGUCUCCCCAGUUAUGGCGCAGAGCUGCAAGGAUGGCUGUGGGUCAUUAAUUUCUCCGUGGCUGACCUGUGUUUGUAACGCCGCAGCUGUUGCGAGGGGGAAGGACACUGCUUCGGAUUCAAAUUCUGACUCCUUGCUGCAGUGUGUCACCUUGAGCCAGUCCCAGAUCUCUGCGUUCUCACAAUUGUAAAAUGUUAACAGAGGCUGCCUACCUUGUGGCUGGAAUUAAAUGAAUUAACGUGUGUGAAUGUGACUAGAAUUCAGUACAUGUUCAGGAAAAGCUGAUUUCCGCUUUGCUGUUACCGUGAAUAUUACUGUUUUAGGGUGUAGAAAAGGGUGGAAGGGGAUGUUAUUGCAUCCUGGAAGCUUAUCCUUUUGAGGUAAAGAUUGAUUUCUGGUCCCCUGCGUGGUAUAUAGUGUAGUUUUGACAUUAUUUAGAUGUGUUAUGCACAUUUGGGUGUUGAUUAUAUGGCUUACGAUCAAGACUAACCAGUCAUGCCGUGGGAGAUUAAGGUCGUGGUCUCUUGUCAGGAUUGUAGUGAGAUUUAAAAAUUCCAGCCAGAAAUACCAGGCUUAGAAUGCUCUGAAGCCCUCCCCACAUUUUUGCCAUCUCUAGCAGGAGGGCACUGCAUAGCAGAAACAAAGACGUUGUAAAUUGUUGCUGCCUGAGUCAUUUAUAGAGGCUUAAACAACCUGAAUGUCCUCUGACCUACCUGUAACAUUUGAUGGAGUUGUAUGAGUAACUUACAAAGCUGUAGGUCCCAAGGUCGGUCUGAAAAAGAAAGUUCAUAUCCGGGAGCACUGACCCCGUAGUGUAAUCCUGGCACCUUAAAACGUACUGCUCCCUCCACCUUCACUUCAAGGUUAUGAAAACAUUGAGUAAAAGGGAUGAUCUGUUCAAAGUCCUUAGUGUUCUGCCAAUUUAAAACAGUAAUUUUCAAAGCAGUUAUUUGCAAGGAAAUUGCCUAGAACUUCUCCCAGUGUGCGGUUGUUUUGUGUGUUUGUGUGUGUGUUUUGUUUGUUUGUUUUCAGUCUGUCCACAGGCGUACUUUUAUAGGUCUGUGAUAGUAGGUAGCUCUUCAAGUUGGCAAACACCUGCUGGACAACCCCUGAGAGAUUCAUCUGAGUGAGAGAGCACUCUCCAGCCCCAUCGGAGUGGGUUUGCAGGGAAAUCAUAAGGUAGAGAUUCAAAGGAAUUCCCUUGCGUUGCAAAUGAAAACUGUAUCUUCAGACUCUGAUAUAGUGUAAUCCUUCCUUUUUAGGAAGAAAUCCUUAUCUUUCCAACACUGAGAUGCUUCU
rnacentral:lncRNA from 10 species